rnacentral:rRNA from 1 species
AUUGAACGCUAGCGGGAUGUCUUACACAUGCAAGUCGAACGGAGUGGCGAACGGGUGAGUAAUGUAUCGGAACGUGCCCAGUAGCGGGGGAUAACUACGCGAAAGCGUAGCUAAUACCGCAUACUAUUGGAGCGGCCGAUAUCGGAUUAGCUAGUUGGUGGGGUAACGGCUCACCAAGGCGACGAUCCGUAGCUGGUUUGAGAGGACGACCAGCCAAACUGGGACUGGGACAAGGCCCCGACCCCUGAGGGGGGCAAGAGUGGGGGAUUUUUGAGCAUGGGGGGAAACCUGGACCCGCCAACCCGCGUGGGCGGUAGAGGCCUUCGGGUUGUAAAGCCCUUUUGGCAGGAGAGCGGUACCUGCAGAAUAAGCACCGGCUAACUACGUGCCAGCAGCCGCGGUAAUAC